rnacentral:rRNA from 1 species
AUUGAACGCUGGCGGCAGGCUUAACACAUGCAAGUCGAGCGGGGUGAUGGUGCUUGCACUAUCACUUAGCGGCGGGCGGGUGAGUAAUGCUUAGGAAUCUGCCUAUUAGUGGGGACAACAUCUCGAAAGGGAUGCUAAUACCGCAUACGUCCUACGGGAGAAAGCAGGGGAUCACUUGUGACCUUGCGCUAAUAGAUGAGCCUAAGUCGGAUUAGCUAGUUGGUGGGGUAAAGGCCUACCAAGGCGACGAUCUGUAGCGGGUCUGAGAGGAUGAGCCGCCACACUGGGACUGAGACACGGCCCAGACCCCUACGGGAGGCAGCAGUGGGGAAUAUUGGACAAUGGGGGGAACCCUGAUCCAGCCAUGCCGCGUGUGUGAAGAAGGCCUUAUGGUUGUAAAGCACUUUAAGCGAGGAGGAGGCUCUUUUGGUUAAUACCCAAGAUGAGUGGACGUUACUCGCAGAAUAAGCACCGGCUAACUCUGUGCCAGCCGCCGCGGUAA